rnacentral:antisense_RNA from 1 species
CAGAUUUGGUGACAUGUCUCUUGCUUAGACUGUUACCAGGUUCAGGAACUUGCCGGUUUACUGAACCUUCGAAAAACCACCUUUCCGGGUGGUUUUUUCGU